AUUGAACGCUGGCGGAAUGCUUUACACAUGCAAGUCGAACGGCAGCACGGACUUCGGUCUGGUGGCGAGUGGCGAACGGGUGAGUAAUGUAUCGGAACGUGCCCAGUCGUGGGGGAUAACGUAGUGAAAAUUACGCUAAUACCGCAUACGAUCUAUGGAUGAAAGCGGGGGAUCGCAAGACCUCGCGCGAUUGGAGCGGCCGAUAUCAGAUUAGGUAGUUGGUGGGGUAAAGGCCCACCAAGCCAACGAUCUGUAGCUGGUCUGAGAGGACGACCAGCCACACUGGAACUGAGACACGGUCCAGACUCCUACGGGAGUCAGCAGUGGGGAAUUUUGGACAAUGGGCGAAAGCCUGGUCCAGCCAUUCCGCGUGCAGGAUGAAGGCCCUCGGGUUGUAAACUGCUUUUGUACAGAACGAAAAGGUUUCUACUAAUACUAGGAGCUCAUGACGGUACUGUAAGAAUAAGCACCGGCUAACUACGUGCCAGCCGCCGCGGUAA
rnacentral:rRNA from 1 species